GUGAGUGGGACAGCCUCGGGGAAAAACUCUGAACGUAUUUGACUGUCCAUUCCAGGUAAAUGGAAGCUUUUUUUGAUAGAAAUACAGAAGAGCACAUUCACCAAAUCAGCGGCUCUGCCCUGCGGACCUGAGAGUCUGUUACCAGUGCCCGGUACUGAAUAUAGAUGCUCUGUGAACACUGGACGGAAGGAAGAGAGAGAAGAGGACGAGAGGAGGAAGCUCAUACUGGGAAAGAGGAAUAACAAGUCAUUUCAUGAGUUCCCCAGGUGAAGCCACGGUGAAACAGGCUGCUCCAAACUGUCACCCCCUUUUUAUGCCACAAAAUAUCCCACCACCUUGCUAAUGAAUGCAUCCAAAUCAUGUCCUGCUGCCUACCUGCAGUGUGCCCUUGGACCUGUCAUUCAAUCUCACCAAGCCUGAGUUUCCUAAAAUGAUGUUAAUGAUACCUACCUCAUCAAUUGAUUAUAAGGCUUCAAUGAAGACAGCGUGAUGAGGUAUUUAACACAGUGCCUGACACCAAGAAAGCCCUUGCCACCCUCAGCAAGUGUGUAGGGGAGGAAAAGGAGCCUAAAAGCAGAUACAGUGGCUUAAUGUGUGCUUGCACUUGCAUGUGUGUGUCUGUUAUUUCAGUCUGAAGUUUACUAGGCGCUCAGUAAAUAUGAUUUGAAUAAAUUAUAAUUAUGCAUGCACAUUUUUCAGAAUAAGGAAUUUUAAUCAUUAACAUACUCCUUGCUAUUUCCAAACAACAUAGGAGCAGGGGCUCUCCCAUAAUGAGGGGGAGAUGACUCUAUAUUAAAGUAUAUAGAGUUUUUAUUUCUAUUAUAUUCUAUUAUGUAUCCUGUUUUUCUAUUUUCCUUUAUGUUCAUCCUUCACAGAAUUUCUAACACUCCUGCAUUUGCCACUCCAGUCUCCUAACUGCAGGCUGGAGAAUGAAGCUGGUUACUAUUCUUCCUUUAUUUGUCACAAAUUAAAAGAAUAUGGUGAAAAACAAUCAGUGCUGUGGACGGUAGGAUUAGUUAUCUUAUUUACUGGCUCAGGUGGCAGCUCGGGUAAGUCUCUUAAUCCAGGACCUCUGCUUUAGGACAGAGCAGCCAGCUGGACCUCAACUCCUUUCCAUUCAAUUAAUACUAUAAUAGGCUGUUGACAGUUAUUCAUUCAAUGGGAGAUGCAGCCGCAGCGGCCAUAAACGGCUAUUUCAGUUUUUGCCACUAGAGGGCGCCGCAGCCCACGAUCUGAGAUGAAGCUGGCGCUACCGCCGCUACAACGAGGCUGCGCUGCAGUAUUUUGUUACACUGUAUUGUGUUUCGCUGUAUUGUACUUUAAUGUAUUGCAUUCGAUUAAAUUGUGUCCUAUUAUAGAAAUCGAUAUGGUAUCUGAUUACUUAGAGAAACACUAUUUGCUAUUUUAUCUUUAAACGGAUGCCCAUAAUUAUCAUUUUCUUAAUUAACAAGGGCUGCAAUCGAAGCACGACAAAGCGUAAUGCACCUCAAGAAUGCCUCAGAUUCAUUUGCAAAGAGACAGCAUGUUAUAUCUGAAAGAGCUUCGAUGUUGCUCUUCAGCGCCUAGAGUAUUACUUGCAUACAGCAGGCACUCAAGAACAUAUUUGAAAGAAUUAGACAUGAUUCUGUUUUAGGUCUAAUAAAUCAGGACUGCUGUGAGGUCAUGGUGGUUUAGUGGGGAAUCCGAAUUUUUAGUGAGUGUCCCAGGUAUGUAUUGAAGUUUCGGAACCAUUGGCUCAACCCACGCCCUGUCUCAGUUUCCUCCCUUUCUUCAUCUGAAGAAUUAAUUAAUUAACGCCAGCAAUUCCUUGGUACAGGUGCUUCAGUGACGUCCUCGCCUCUUGUAAGGGAGAAGAAAUAUCGGUCCUCCUGAUUGCAGAAGCAAAGCUCACUAGGAAGGGUGAGACCUAAACUGACUCAUGCAUCCUUGUCUACCCCUUCUCACGUCGACCACAGCAGGGGCCGGAGCCAGCCCCAGGCACAGGGUCCAGCAGGGAGGAUGCAGGACAAGUUUGUACCCAGCCGUGGAAAAGAGAGAAGCAGCAAACAGUGGUCAAUACCCUGUUCCAAAGUCUAGGCCCAGAACCAAGGGCACGAGCAUCACCUGGGAACUUGUUAGCAAUGCAGGUUCUCGAGUUUCACCAUGAACAUACUGAAUCAGACUCUGGGACUGGGGCCUCACAGCCUGUGUUUUAACAAGUUCUUGGGUGAUACUGACGCACACUACAGUUUGGGGACCAGUGCUCUGUUCUGCGUGUAGUCCCCCAGGGCCAGCUGAACCUGGAGAACUUGAAGUCACGUGUCCUGAUUUCCCUAAGUUCCCCGUGAGAGUUUUCAGGUGUGCAUUGGCCAUCAAGCCUCUCCUUCACGAAUCAAACAGGCUCUGUAGCCAGAAACCCCUCUUGAAAAGUCACACAGACCAUUAACUAACUAUGAAAAAUACCUUUAUAGACACAAAUGCGUAUUUGUUUUGACAACGCCACUUUGAAGCAGAAAGAUAUUAUCACCAUUUUUGUUCACAGCUUCCGUGCAACUGAAUAAUGUGCAAAGGGCUCAGCUUUGUUAAGGUUCAGGAUAAACAUUCCUUUUAGAAUUCUCUAUCAGAGCACAUUGUCUCUCUUAGGCUGAAAGUUUCCCCUCAAAUAUAGUAUUGGCCUGAAAUAAUUUA